rnacentral:snRNA from 1 species
UUACCACUCUGGCCUUUUGGCUUAGAUCAAGUGUAGUAUCUGUUCUCUUUAGAUUAACCUCUAAAGUGGAGGCACCGCCUCCCUAAUUGGUUUUCUGAUUUUUGAAGCCCUUGCCCCUUAAGCUCUGCUUGCAACUCGAGGGUGUAAUGACUUUGCCACUGCACUAUUGGCCUAUGUUGUCCGGGGAUC